rnacentral:rRNA from 1 species
AAAUUGAAGAGUUUGAUCAUGGCUCAGAUUGAACGCUGGCGGCAGGCCUAACACAUGCAAGUCGAACGGUAACAGGAAGCAGCUUGCUGCUUUGCUGACGAGUGGCGGACGGGUGAGUAAUGUCUGGGAAACUGCCUGAUGGAGGGGGAUAACUACUGGAAACGGUAGCUAAUACCGCAUAACGUCGCAAGACCAAAGAGGGGGACCUUCGGGCCUCUUGCCAUCGGAUGUGCCCAGAUGGGAUUAGCUAGUAGGUGGGGUAAUGGCUCACCUAGGCGACGAUCCCUAGCUGGUCUGAGAGGAUGACCAGCCACACUGGAACUGAGACACGGUCCAGACUCCUACGGGAGGCAGCAGUGGGGAAUAUUGCACAAUGGGCGCAAGCCUGAUGCAGCCAUGCCGCGUGUAUGAAGAAGGCCUUCGGGUUGUAAAGUACUUUCAGCGGGGAGGAAGGGAGUAAAGUUAAUACCUUUACUCAUUGACGUUACCCGCAGAAGAAGCACCGGCUAACUCCGUGCCAGCAGCCGCGGUAAUACGGAGGGUGCAAGCGUUAAUCGGAAUUACUGGGCGUAAAGCGCACGCAGGCGGUUUGUUAAGUCAGAUGUGAAAUCCCCGGGCUCAACCUGGGAACUGCAUCUGAUACUGGCAAGCUUGAGUCUCGUAGAGGGGGGUAGAAUUCCAGGUGUAGCGGUGAAAUGCGUAGAGAUCUGGAGGAAUACCGGUGGCGAAGGCGGCCCCCUGGACGAAGACUGACGCUCAGGUGCGAAAGCGUGGGGAGCAAACAGGAUUAGAUACCCUGGUAGUCCACGCCGUAAACGAUGUCGACUUGGAGGUUGUGCCCUUGAGGCGUGGCUUCCGGAGCUAACGCGUUAAGUCGACCGCCUGGGGAGUACGGCCGCAAGGUUAAAACUCAAAUGAAUUGACGGGGGCCCGCACAAGCGGUGGAGCAUGUGGUUUAAUUCGAUGCAACGCGAAGAACCUUACCUGGUCUUGACAUCCACGGAAGUUUUCAGAGAUGAGAAUGUGCCUUCGGGAACCGUGAGACAGGUGCUGCAUGGCUGUCGUCAGCUCGUGUUGUGAAAUGUUGGGUUAAGUCCCGCAACGAGCGCAACCCUUAUCCUUUGUUGCCAGCGGUCCGGCCGGGAACUCAAAGGAGACUGCCAGUGAUAAACUGGAGGAAGGUGGGGAUGACGUCAAGUCAUCAUGGCCCUUACGACCAGGGCUACACACGUGCUACAAUGGCGCAUACAAAGAGAAGCGACCUCGCGAGAGCAAGCGGACCUCAUAAAGUGCGUCGUAGUCCGGAUUGGAGUCUGCAACUCGACUCCAUGAAGUCGGAAUCGCUAGUAAUCGUGGAUCAGAAUGCCACGGUGAAUACGUUCCCGGGCCUUGUACACACCGCCCGUCACACCAUGGGAGUGGGUUGCAAAAGAAGUAGGUAGCUUAACCUUCGGGAGGGCGCUUACCACUUUGUGAUUCAUGACUGGGGUGAAGUCGUAACAAGGUAACCGUAGGGGAACCUGCGGUUGGAUCACCUCCUUACCUUAAAGAAGC